UACAGAGGGUGCAAACGUUGCUCGGAAUCAUUGGGCGUAAAGCGCACGUAGGCGGUCCGACAAGUGGGGAGUGAAAGCCCUCGGCUUAACCGAGGAAGUGCUUUCCAAACUGCCGGACUUGAGUACGCAAGAGGAUCGCGGAAUUCCCGGUGUAGAGGUGAAAUUCGUAGAUAUCGGGGAGGAACACCAGCGGCGAAGGCGGCGAUCUGGGGCGAUACUGACGCUGAGGUGCGAAAGCGUGGGGAGCAAACGGG
rnacentral:rRNA from 1 species